GACGAACGCUGGCGGCGUGCCUAAUACAUGCAAGUCGAACGCAGUGGGGACGGGUGAGUAACACGUGGGUAACCUCCCAUCAGAGGGGAUAACACUUGGAAACAGGUGCUAAACCGAUACUGAUGGAUGAACCCGCGGUGCAUUAGCUAGUUGGUGAGGGAACGGCUCAACAAGGCCACGAUGACUAGCAGUUCAGAGAGGGUGAUCAGCCACACUGGGACUGAGACACGGCCCAGACUCCUACGGGAGGCAGCAGUAGAGAAUCUUCAGCAAUGGACGAAAGUCUGACCGAGCAACGCCGCGUGAGUGAAGAAGGUUUUCGGGUCGUAAAACUCUGUUGUUAGAGAAGCGGUAUCUAACCAAAAAGCCACGGCUAACUACGUGCCAGCAGCCGCGGUAAUUC
rnacentral:rRNA from 1 species